GGAUAUAGCUUAGUGGUAGAGUGUGUGCUUAGCAUGCAUGAGGUCCUGGGUUCGAUCUCCAUUACCUCCA
rnacentral:tRNA from 1 species